rnacentral:rRNA from 1 species
UGAGGAGUUUUGCGUAAUGGGGGAAACCCUGACGCAGCAACGCCGCGUGAGUGAAGAAGGCCUUCGGGUCGUAAAGCUCUGUCUAGUGGGAAGAACCUUUCAUGGGUCAAUACCCCAUGAAACUGACGGUACCACUGAAGGAAGCACCGGCUAACUCCGUGCCAGCAGCCGCGGUAAUACGGAGGGUGCCAGCGUUAUUCGGAAUCAUUGGGUGUAAAGCGCGUGUAGGCGGCCUGGAAAGUCAAAUGUGAAAGCUUCGGGCUUAACCCGGAAAGUGCAUUUGAAACUCCCAGACUUGAGUGCCGGAGAGGAAGGUGGAAUUCCCAGUGUAGAGGUGGAAUUCGUAGAUAUUGGGAGGAACACCGGUGGCGAAGGCGACCUUCUGGACGGACACUGACGCUGAGACGCGAAAGCGUGGGGAGCAAACAG